rnacentral:rRNA from 1 species
GUAGGGAAUCUUCCGCAAUGGGCGAAAGCCUGACGGAGCAACGCCGCGUGAGUGAUGAAGGUCUUCGGAUUGUAAAGCUCUGUCUUCAGUGACGAAGAUGACGGUAACUGAGGAGGAAGCCACGGCAAACUACGUGCCAGCAGCCGCGGUAAUACGUAGGUGGCGAGCGUUGUCCGGAAUUACUGGGCGUAAAGCGCGCGUAGACGGCUCGAUAAGUGAGAUGUGAAAGACCCGGGCUCAACUCGGGGGUUGCAUCUUAGACUGUCGAGCUUGAGUGCAGGAGAGGCAAGUGGAAUUCCCAGUGUAGCAGUGAAAUGCGUAGAGAUUGGGAGGAACACCAGUGGCGAAGGCGACUUGCUGGACUGUAACUGACGUUGAGGUGCGAAAGCUAGGGGAGCAAACGGG